rnacentral:rRNA from 1 species
GAUGAACGCUGGCGGCGUGCCUAAUACAUGCAAGUCGAGCGAACGGACGAGAAGCUUGCUUUUCUGAUGUUAGCGGCGGACGGGUGAGUAACACGUGGAUAACCUACCUAUAAGACUGGGAUAACUUCGGGAAACCGGAGCUAAUACCGGAUAAUAUUUUGAACCGCAUGGUUCAAAAGUGAAAGACGGUCUUGCUGUCACUUAUAGAUGGAUCCGCGCUGCAUUAGCUAGUUGGUAAGGUAACGGCUUACCAAGGCAACGAUGCAUAGCCGACCUGAGAGGGUGAUCGGCCACACUGGAACUGAGACACGGUCCAGACUCCUACGGGAGGCAGCAGUAGGGAAUCUUCCGCAAUGGGCGAAAGCCUGACGGAGCAACGCCGCGUGAGUGAUGAAGGUCUUCGGAUCGUAAAACUCUGUUAUUAGGGAAGAACACAUGUGUAAGUAACUGUGCACAUCUUGACGGGACCUAAUCAGAAAGCCACGGCUAACUACGU